rnacentral:rRNA from 1 species
GAUGAACGCUGGCGGCGUGCCUAAUACAUGCAAGUCGAGCGAACAGAUGAGAAGCUUGCUUCUCUGAUGUUAGCGGCGGACGGGUGAGUAACACGUGGGUAACCUACCUAUAAGACUGGGAUAACUCCGGGAAACCGGGGCUAAUACCGGAUAAUAUUUUGAACCGCAUGGUUCAAUAGUGAAAGACGGUUUCGGCUGUCACUUAUAGAUGGACCCGCGCCGUAUUAGCUGGUUGGUAAGGUAAUGGCUUACCAAGGCGACGAUACGUAACCGACCUGGGAGGGUGCUCGGCCACACUGGAACUGAGACACGGUCCAGACUCCUACGGGAGGCAGCAGUAGGGAAUCUUCCGCAAUGGGCGAAAGCCUGACGGAGCAACGUCGCGUGAGUGAUGAAGGUCUUCGGAUCGUAAAACUCUGUUGUUAGGGAAGAACAAAUUUGUUAGUAACUGAACAAGUCUUGACGGUACCUAACCAGAAAGCCACGGCUAACUACGUGCCAGCAGCAGCCGCGG